rnacentral:rRNA from 1 species
CCUACGGGAGGCAGCAGUGAGGAAUAUUGGUCAAUGUGCGGAAGCCUGAACCAGCCAAGUAGCGUGCAGGAUGACGGCCCUACGGGUUGUAAACUGCUUUUAUACGGGAAUAACGCGCCUUACGUGUAGGGCUUUGCAUGUACCGUAUGAAUAAGGACCGACUAAUUCCGUGCCAGCAGCCGCGGUAAUACGGAAGGUCCGGGCGUUAUCCGGAUUUAUUGGGUUUAAAGGGAGCGUAGGCCGCAUGUCAAGCGUGCUGUGAAAUGUCCGGGCUCAACCCGGGCCUUGACGCGCGAACUGGCGGGCUUGAGUCCGCGGAAGGCAGGCGGAAUUCGUGGUGUAGCGGUGAAAUGCGUAGAGAUGACGAAGAAUCCCGAUGGCGAAGGCAGCUUGCUGAAGAGGAACUGACGCUGAUGCUCGAAAGCGCGGGUAUCGAACAGGAUUAGAUACCCGAGUAGUC